rnacentral:rRNA from 1 species
UUCUAUAGGCAUUUGAUUGAAAAUGGGAUCAAAUACCCACAUUUAUACAUGUGGAAAAUUUAAAUGCCUCCUAGAGUGAAAGUCUUUAUGUGGCUAGCUCUUAGGAACAACAUUCUUACAAAAGAUAACUUGGGGUGCAGGGGGUGGAAAGGGGACAAAAAAUGCCCCUUUUGUGGGCAUGAUGAAAGUAUUAAUCAUCUCCUUUUCUCCUGCUCUGUAGCUCGUUUGCUAUGGAAUGUCUUGAAGUGUGCAUUCAACUUAACAGAUAUUCCAGAAAAUCUAGAUCUCUUGAUGAGAGUUUGCGUCAAAAAAUUUGGGAAGGAGGAAAAAGGUCUAGUGAUGAUAGGGAUAUCUGCCAUUUGCUGGACGCUCUAG